UCAGGCCCGCGCCCUCCCUCCUACAGCUCACCGUAAACCGCGUCCGCGCUUCGGGCAAACUGAAGAGCGGCGGCGUCGGAGACAUUUUCUCGGCUGCGCGUGCCCGCCACUGAACUGCGGCGCCGGCCGAUGACGUCAAGCGGGAGCAACGAGAUUGCCGGCUCCGCGCGGGGCUAGAGCGGCCUGUGAGCGCGGUGGCCGGCGAGCCCGCUGCUGGGAGCUUCUGUGGUAGCUGAGUAUGGGUGGGCGUUGGAACCCUGAGUCAGCCAAACAAUGCCUAGCCCGGGUUCUUGGGUAACUCUUGGGGUGAGAGGACUUGUGCUUCGCCCCGUACGCUCCGCGCUCUUGGGCGGGGAAAAGGCCGAACGCGCACCUACGUCCCGGUAGUUUUCCUGGUUUGGGGAAAGCGGGUAAAUGGUGGCUGGUUGCAGCUCGGAUGGGCCACUCAAGAAGGAGAGGCUUGGCCAACGAGAAGCCGAGUGGCACAGUGACAACAACUCAGCUGGAGUUACGCUGCAGAGAAAGAAGCACUGAUCCAAACGCGGGGAACUUCUAUCAGCUCUUAUUCCCUUACACGUGUACCUUGUUCUCUUUGACAGCCAAUAAAAAUACAGGAAGCUAAGGAAAACUGCAGGAU